GACGAACGCUGGCGGCGUGCUUAACACAUGCAAGUCGAACGGUAGGGCCCUUCGGGGUACACGAGUGGCGAACGGGUGAGUAACACGUGGGUGAUCUGCCCUGCACUUCGGGAUAAGCCUGGGAAACUGGGUCUAAUACCGGAUAGGACUCCGGACUGCAUGGUCUGGGGUGGAAAGCUUUUGCGGUGUGGGAUGGGCCCGCGGCCUAUCAGCUUGUUGGUGGGGUGAUGGCCUACCAAGGCGACGACGGGUAGCCGGCCUGAGAGGGUGACCGGCCACACUGGGACUGAGAUACGGCCCAGACUCCUACGGGAGGCAGCAGUGGGGAAUAUUGCACAAUGGGCGCAAGCCUGAUGCAGCGACGCCGCGUGAGGGAUGACGGCCUUCGGGUCGUAAACCUCUUUCAGCAUCGACGAAGCGAAAGUGACGGUAGGUGCAGAAGAAGGACCGGCCAACUACGUGCCAGCCGCCGCGGUAA
rnacentral:rRNA from 1 species